GCCCGAGUGGUGGAAUUGGUAGACACAAGGGAUUUAAAAUCCCUCGCUCGUAAGAGUGUGCCGGUUCAAGUCCGGCCUCGGGUACCA
rnacentral:tRNA from 2 species